UCUGUAGCAAUACAGAUGGCGCACGGCGCACGGGUGCGUAACACGUGGGUAAUCUGCCCUUCGAUGGGGAAUAACCUCGCGAAAGCGAGGCUAAUUCCGCAUAACAUUCCGAUGAUCUUGGUCAAUGGAUUCAAAGCCGUAAGGCGUCGGAGGAGGAGCCCGCGCACGAUUAGCUAGUUGGUGAGGUAACGGCUCACCAAGGCUAUGAUCGUUAGCUGGUCUGAGAGGAUGGCCAGCCACACUGGAACUGAGACACGGUCCAGACUCCUACGGGAGGCAGCAGUGGGGAAUCUUGCACAAUGGGCGAAAGCCUGAUGCAGCGACGCCGCGUGGGGGAUGAAGCUUCUCGGAGUGUAAACCCCUUUCGACCCGGACGAAUGCCUCGCAAGAGGACUGACGGUACGGGUAUAAGAAGCCCCGGCUAACUACGUGCCAGCAGCCGCGGUAAGACGUAGGGGGCCAGCGUUGCUCGGAAUUACUGGGUGUAAAGGGUUCGUAGGCGGUGUGGCAAGUCGGGAGUGAAAUCUCUGGGCUCAACCCAGAGGCUGCUUCCGAAACUGCCGUGCUUGAGUGUGGGAGAGGCGCGUGGAAUUGCAGGUGUAGCGGUGAAAUGCGUAGAUAUCUGCAGGAACACCCGUGGCGAAAGCGGCGCGCUGGACCACAACUGACGCUGAGGAACGAAAGCUAGGGGAGCAAACAGGAUUAGAUACCCUGGUAGUCCUAGCCCUAAACGAUCAGGACUUGGGGUGCUUCACGUUCGUGGAGCGUCCCGGAGCUAACGCGUUAAGUCCUGCACCUGGGGAGUACGGUCGCAAGACUGAAACUC
rnacentral:rRNA from 1 species